rnacentral:pre_miRNA from 1 species
CGGACUGUCGCCCCUGAGAACGUGAGGCUGCAGGCUCUCAGGCCCGUCAGCCCGUG